UCAAGUCUUACUUCUUCCUGCAUUUCUUUUUGGUGGUGUCAUAAGCACGGAUGACUUCUUCCUGACUCACAGCUCCGUGUUCUUCUUGAGAAAAAGCAUACCCAUCUGAAAGUGAAGCACACAGGAGAAACUGGUUAACAGGAGAAUUGGGGGAGCACACUAGGUUUAAAUACGCUGCUUUUUUGGCAGCGUGCGGGUGAGUGGUGUGCGACACCUGGCCUCCUUAGCCUUGGAUAGUUGGAGGCUUGAGAUGAAGAAACCUGUGGCCAUAGAGGGGCCGUGGCGGCCGUGUGCAGGCUGACUGGGGUCCCAUGGUUCUCGCUGCUGAUGCUGGGAUGGGAACGGCUCUGAGGGAGAAAAGAAGUCGGAAAGUGUGCCCAUGUAUCAGUUCCUGGACUGCCUGCUAAUUUCCUCAGACAUCUGGCUUAACAAGGAAAUUUCUAGAGUAUCAAGACGUACAGUCACAAGACAGAAGAGUCCUCGCGCGAUGGAGAAGAGGAGGAGAUUUUAAAAGAAGACAUUCAGGCUGUUUUCUUACUCUGUGUGUUCCCAUAACUGAGAGUCCCAGUCCAGGGCUGGCUUUCCGGCUCUUCCAGACGGCAUGCCUUCCAGCCACUGCCUGAGAAUGCCGAGGGCUCAGGGGGUUAUCCGGGGAGGCAAGGGCUUGUCCGCAGAGGUGGCCUGAGAGUUGACUGAGGACAUGGGCUGAGCAGCAGAGAGGAGGGCCCAGGCCAGUGAGGCCAUGGGAGGAAGAGACAGUAGGUGGGAGAGAAGGUGAUGCAAGCUGAGCCAGGCGAACAGAACAGAGAGGAAUCCUCCACAGGGGGCUUUUGUCUACUUGCUCACCUCCAUUUCUAGCAAAACAAAACCUACAACCCAAACAUUCCCACCACGUGGUAGCCACAGUGAAGCAGCUCCCAGACCAGUGUGAGCCCCCAGAUAGCUGGGACCAGGAGCAGGUGGGUCCCUGAGCCUGAAGGCAGCACCAGCCGGGAGGGGAGCUCCCUUGGAGGCGAACAUGCUUGUUCCAGCCUUGGGUCCACACCUAGCGCACUUGAACUUCCUGAUACUCAGGGCUUUAGAGCCUUCACGGGAUCUGCUUCCAAGCACUGAAGAGCAAAGGCCACCCCUCCUGUUCUCCUAAGAGCUUUUGGAUUUUCACCAAGUUGCUUAAUCAGAAAUCAGCCGGGACAAGGAAACCUCCGUUGCCCGGCUUUGGAGGAGCUGCCCCAGCCUCCUGCCUCCCUCUGGCACCGUGUGGCACACACACUCUCAUCCCAAAUCCUGUACAAGCAGGUCCUUGUGAAGCCUUUCUACUGCGAUCCAAGAGGAGACGUCUUUCCUUGGGAUGUUUCAAAGCAAAAUCUAGCAAAUAACACUGCCUCAUCUGCUCCAGUAACAAGGUAAAUAACACGGCCUCAUCUGCUCCAGUAACGAGGCUAUGUACUGUGGUCAACUUGGACAAUUGCCAUUCUCCACUUCUUUAAUAAGGAACGUUUCUAGUACACCUCUGAUGUCUUCCUGAGGGGGCCUGGCAGAACAGCAGCUGCAAUGGCAGGGUCACCACCGGCUCCACAGCUGCUGCACCAUCCCAAGGGCUGCUCCUCAGUCCUACUGAAGGGGUUCUGAGUAAGGAACGGUCACCCCAAAGAACUGGACAUACUCUUUAUAAACUCUUCUAGUGGCAGGCUGAGGACUACUGAGCUCUCCACCCUGAAGACGUUUUUCUCCACUUGCUUGUUUUUAUCUUAGAUUCUGGGGGCCCCAAGUGGCUGCAGCAUGGGGUCGGGGUGGCGGCCAGGAAACAAAGGGUGGCUCUAGUCCUUGCUUGCUGCUACUUGUCCAUGUGACUUUGGGCUCUUUAAGCUCCCUGGGUCUUGGUGUACUUUUCUGUAAAUUAAAUGGCUUGGACCAGGGAAGGCACAAGUUCUCUCCAGCUCCAGUCCUCUCUAUGGGCUCCAGGACAUGUUCAUGGCCCGUCACACCCACGCUGCAGGAUCCUCUCCCUCUGUCAGUACCAGUUCGCACUGCACCCACAUGGAGGCCUCCGCAUCCAUGCCAGAAAAGAAAGGGUUGGUGUUUGGUGUCAACAGUCUGUCCAAAAAGAACAAUUAACUACGUAUUAUAUCUCUUUUGGCCUGCUUUUUUCUCCUGGUUGUGGGGAGCUCACGGAGACAUAAAAAUAAAUUUGGGAGUGUCCUUUUGGGAAAGGUAUCUUAGCCUUUGGAAUAGUCUACUUCCUGUUUAAAUGGAAGGUGCAAAAGCUUUUUUCUUCUAUUUAUCUUGUUUUCCAUAACAUGCCUGUGUCUGCUGGAAACCCAACUCCGGGGGCUUCUUCAGCUCAUAACUCUGUCACUUCUUCUGUGUGCAUUAGUGCCGCAGCCACAGGGGCCUCCCACGGGAUUGCAGCGGGUAAUUCGGCCCCCCGGGGUGGGAAGGGUUUCAAGGUUUUCCUCUGAAGAGACAGGCAGAGAAGAGUUCCCCCUCCUGUUGUAAACCUCCCAGGGUAAGUAGAGCACCCCGAGGUCUGUGCUAAAUGUCUCCCACUAUCCUCCCUAGUUCCCAUUGUUCGCACCCACCGCCACAUUUCCAGCAUGUUGUACGCUAAGACUUUCUUAACCUUAACCAAGAAUGAAAGUGGAGUCUACAAUUCAACAGUGAAAGGAGGAUGGCCUGAUACGUUUAUCUUGGGAGAGGGAGUCCUCCCAGGUUCAGAUAAAACAUUUUCCUCUUAGAAAACAGGCCUGGUGGGAGUUAGAGCUGUCACAGGAGGAGUUUUACUGGAAAACCAGACACCAUCACCCCUCAACCAUCCCUGCCUGCCCAGCCUCCGUCCCACCUGAGGAAGAUACAGACCUGCUCCCAGCUCUGCCUCCUGAACCUUUAACUGCCAUUUGCAUCCAAACAGGGAGCUCAGAGGAAGCCUCCAGGUCUUUGCACCCCCCACUUUCACUCAUCCUUCAGGAAGUCCAAGCAGCCAGAAAGUCCUGAUGGGGGCCUGGAGGGAGCUCUCAUGGACCCAACUAACUGAACUUUCCCUGGCUGGCUUCCUAAAGCAUCUGCUUUCUAAAUAGCCACAGCCAGAAUGGAGGAUGGAAUUGUGUAGGUGAAAGGAGGUGGGAAGAUAGAUGGAUUUCUUAGCUGUUUUGUCUUCUCUGGGUAGAACAUUUGGUAAAAUCCAUACAAUCAUGUCAUUUUUUUUCAUUAUUUUGGAAUAAAACUCCCCUUAAGUAGCAUUCCUUUGAAUCUGCGCUCUGAUAGCAUCUUAAUGAAAAUAGCAGUUUCCUGUCUGGAAAGAUUCCUAAUAGCCAUAGAAAUGAGAAGACCAUGGGGACAAUGAGGAAAUCAGACUGUGUAGGAAAUGCUGAUUACAAAUAUUGUAUGUUGGUGGCUCACAGGAACUAAAAUACUACCAAGAUUAGAGUUUUUCCUGCCAGUUUCCUGGACAGACCCAGGGGGAACAUAAAAGGCUGAGAUCUGCUAUAUGCCCGUCCUGCACCCCAGGACCAGCUCUGACCACCCGAUGAUCUUCUCUGGCUAUUAGUGACAGAAAUGUCCUAAGUUAUCCAUCAGGUUCUGGUACUAGUCACUGAGUGUUUAAAAAAUAUGGUGUGAUUUUAGAAGCCUUCUUAUUUCUUAUAUUUAUUCAGUAGAUUUUUUUUGGCCUUCCAAAUAUUGACUUAAGAAAAGCAUUUAGUAGUUGUCUUAAGACAUUUAUGACUCUCCCAUAAAAAUUCUCAUUUGGUCUUUGAUCACAAUAUAUAUCUCGUGUAUAUUCUGUCUAUGGUUAUUUUGAAACAUUCAUCAGAGAGGCAACACGGCUCCACAGAACAGACCCUGGGAACCUGUAUGUGUUUUCUCUGUGUCUGGCAUACAGAAGGUGCUUUACACCUACUGUCAUGAAGACUCACAAGGACUGUGUAAGAUGUAUAUCAUUAACAUUCUUUUUCUUCCAUAGGAGAAAAUAAAAAUUUAGAGAAAUUAA